rnacentral:rRNA from 1 species
GAUGAACGCUGGCGGCGUGCCUAAUACAUGCAAGUCGAGCGAACAGACGAGGAGCUUGCUCCUCUGACGUUAGCGGCGGACGGGUGAGUAACACGUGGAUAACCUACCUAUAAGACUGGGAUAACUUCGGGAAACCGGAGCUAAUACCGGAUAAUAUAUUGAACCGCAUGGUUCAAUAGUGAAAGACGGUUUUGCUGUCACUUAUAGAUGGAUCCGCGCCGCAUUAGCUAGUUGGUAAGGUAACGGCUUACCAAGGCAACGAUGCGUAGCCGACCUGAGAGGGUGAUCGGCCACACUGGACCUGAGACACGGUCCAGACUCCUACGGGAGGCAGCAUUAGGGAACCUCGCGCAAUGGGCGAAAGCCUGACGGAGCAACGCCGCGUGAGUGAGGAAGGUUUUCGGAUCGUAAAACUCUGUGAUUAGGGAAGAACAAAUGUGUAAGUAACUAUGCACGUCUUGACGGUACCUAAUCAGAAAGCCACGGCUAACUACGUG